GCGCCCAUAGCUCAGUUGGCAGAGCAAUUGCCUCUUAAGCAAAAGGUCCCAGGUUCGAGCCCUGGUGGGCGCA
rnacentral:tRNA from 1 species